CUCUUUCAUCCUACGGGAGGCAGCAGUGGGGAAUAUUGCACAAUGGGCGCAAGCCUGAUGCAGCCAUGCCGCGUGUAUGAAGAAGGCCUUCGGGUUGUAAAGUACUUUCAGCAGUGAGGAAGGUGGAGUCGUUAAUAGCGGCCUCAUUUGACGUUAGCUGCAGAAGAAGCACCGGCUAACUCCGUGCCAGCAGCCGCGGUAAUACGGAGGGUGCGAGCGUUAAUCGGAAUUACUGGGCGUAAAGCGCAUGCAGGUGGUUUGUUAAGUCAGAUGUGAAAGCCCGGGGCUCAACCUCGGAAUUGCAUUUGAAACUGGCAGACUAGAGUACUGUAGAGGGGGUAGAAUUUCAGGUGUAGCGGUGAAAUGCGUAGAGAUCUGAAGGAAUACCGGUGGCGAAGGCGGCCCCCUGGACAGAUACUGACACUCAGAUGCGAAAGCGUGGGGAGCAAACAGGAUUAGAUACCCUGGUAG
rnacentral:rRNA from 1 species